rnacentral:lncRNA from 1 species
CAGGAGCAAACAGGAUGAUUACUAUGUUUGACUCUUAUUAAAACUUCUCUAUCAUCGUGGUUUUAAUUAUUUGGCGUCAACAUUUUGUCACGAGUUUCAUCACGACAUGAAAGUCAACACUCUCGUACACUUACCAUGGUGUGCCACAUAACAAACUUUAGGGAUUACAUAAAUCAACAGGAAUGGAUUUACCCUCCAAAAACAUGUACGACACAUACAAAGAUGAAAUCUGGAAAGAGCUGGGACCCCUGGACCCUGACUGGUUUGAGGCACUGACAGCUCAGACAUUCACUAGCGAGGGAAAUGUCUCUGAUCAAGAUGACCUGUGUGCCAACCAAGAGGGACAUUUUAAAACGCCCUUUGACAGAACUGCAGUAGAAAGUCAGCUGUUUUCAACCCCCAAAGUUUUUAGACAACGGCGAGUUGUGUCUCCUGAAACUGAGGAUGAGCAGUCGUUCACUGGUGAACAAGAAAAAGAAACCUCGCCAUGGACAGCAACACAAAGUCCAUAUUUGUUUCGGAUGUCAAAAGACGGGUGAGUGCUGUUUGAAAGAAAAACUAUACGUUUAUUAAAU